ACUCAUCCUACCCCCACCUUCUUCACAUCUCCAAGGCGGGCAAUUUAAAUCUUUUUGAAAUCAAAUUUUCAGGAACCAAAAAGGCAUUUCUUUCUCUUUCUCGCUUGCUCCAUUCAACAUCAGGUCAAGCCAUUUUUCCUAGAAAAAACCCUAGCCGCUAUCAUCUCCCCUUCACUACAUCCUCUGUUGGACCACCAUCAGAUCCUUGGUUCAUUGGUCAUGUAUGGUUCUUGGAGGGUUCGAUUCAGGUUAUCAUCUAAAACCACCCCACCUAUGCAACGGUUAUGGUGGAUUUAGAGAUAUCUUGCACCCCAACAACGGUUACACACAACUGCAUCAAUCGACUACUUAUUCUUACUUCUUAUAUGUUCGCAUCCUCAGUUGGAAUCGAAAAUCAAAACGCCCAGAUCUGGAGUUGUUAGAUGUGACACAUCAAAUGUUAGAGCUUCAAGAUUUUGUUUAUCUCUCCCGUUUUUAAAAAUAUGCUCAAUUUUGUUUCUGAUUUUUUUUGUUUAUUUUGUAACAUAAGCAUGCUCGGAUUUUAGUUGUUGUAGAUAUAUCAGCAAAUUGUUUUUAUUGCUCUACUACUCCAGGUAAUAUUUUUGACCCAGGCACGGUUUGAUAGGGUUUUCCAUGCCCUUAGUCACCAUCAUUUAUCAUCGUCAACAUCGUCAACGAUUUUGGAGUUUUUGGAUUUAAACAAAGAAACGAUGUACAGCCUCAAAUAGAAUGAUACAGUAAGAUUCAACAUGAUGAUGAUGUUUAAUGUAUGUGUUUUUAUGGAUGUGUUUUCUUCUCCAGACACAUACACACCUCUGUAACCGUCGUUUACAGCCACCCCCAUACGCUCUCGAUGCUAGAAUUUCGCCAUCAGGUACUCCAAAAGUAAUUUAUGUGUGUGAACAAAUUUUUUUGUGGUUUUGUAGUUUCUCUAAUGAAGUUUGUGUGGGUUUUUGGGAAGAGCAUCAAGAUCCAAACACACACAUAUUUUCUUUGAUCUUACUUUCAUUAACUACUAAAUAAAUGUUUUAAUGUUUGGUUAUACUAAUCAUGUAGGAAAUGGAGUAAAUUAUGAUUUGAUUCAAAAGGAAAAGGUAUGAUGAAGGCAUAUUUCUCUGUAUCCUCUCUUUUACUCUAUGUGUGUAAACCCAUACGGUAAUCAUUUGUCCCAUACGGUAAUCAUUUUUACAGCCAUAUCCCUAUACCGCCCUCUCUCAGCCACUUAUUUGAAUUUAAAGCUUAUUUGGAUGAGGUAAACCUCAAACUUCUGGUUUUAAUUUUUUUUUCCCCUUUUUGAUUGUUAAUUUUUGUUUUUGUGAAAAGGUUUUGUGUCGUCAAUUUAAGUUCGACACAAUCUGUAUCAAUCAGGAAGGCUUGAAGGAAAAGGGUGAAGGCUUGAAAGGAAAUGGGUUUGUUCCUCUAUUUUGUGAUUCAUGUUCAAAAAAUGUUCAUAUUUUGCUAAAUGUACUGAUUUCAUGUUUAUUUUGGUAUUAAUGAUCAAAAGGAACUAUACCAUUGUUUGAUUAUAUGAAGGUUUUUUGGUUAAAAAUGUUAUAUUUUCUUGAAGCCCUAAUUUAUUUUGUCAAAUUAGGUGAUUUAAUUUUGGUAGUUUGGUGUUGGUGAUCGUCUGAGACAACUGGUGCAUCUUCAUAUGUUGAUUUUUGAUCUUAACGUGUCUCAAUCUUUCGGUGAUAUGUUUUCAUUUUGCUCAUAAAAAAAAUUUAUGGAUUGUUUGACCAUAUUCUUACCCUCUGUUGCAAACUGCAAAUCCUUUUGGGCAACUUUGUGAGUCUAGAUCUUGGAUCCAUGUUUCAUCAUCUUUACAACUUUUUGUUGAAUUUAAUUUUCUUUUCAAGAAGAAUGGUUUAUUAUAAGCAAAAAUGGCGAUAAAAGAAAGAUUGUUAUGUUUUAUAGAUUGAUUUUGUAAUGGUUUCAUUUGGGAAAAUUUGAAAGAAAUAUGAAAUUAUGUUUUAUAGAUUGAUUUUGUAAUGGUUUCAUUUUGUUGAAAGUGUAACUUCUUAAAUUAGACUCUAGGAAUUUGUGUGACUAUGUAUGUAUGUGAUUGUUUGUGGGGAACUGAUACGCUAUUCAAAUGAAAAUAUAUGAAUCUAGAAAUAUGAAAUUAUGUU